rnacentral:rRNA from 1 species
CCUACGGGAGGCAGCAGUGGGGAAUAUUGGACAAUGGGCGAAAGCCUGAUGCAGCAAGGCCGCGUGAGUGAGGAAGGCUUUCGGGUUGUAAACUUCUUUUGGCAGGGAAGAGUAGAGAACGUUACCUAUAGCGUAGCCCACGGCUAACUACUGGCCAGCAGCCGGGGUAAUACGUAGGUGGAAAGCGUUGUCCGGAUUUACUGGGUGUAAAGGGCGUGUAACGGGGUGGACAAGUCAGAUGUGAAAUCCUGAGGCUUAACCGUAGAACUGCAUUUGAAACUGUCGAUCUUGAGUACGGGAGAGGCAGACGGAAUUCCUAGUGUAGCGGUGAAAUGCGUAGAUAUUAGGAGGAACACCAGUGGCGAAGGCGGUCUGCUGGACAGCAACUGACGGUGAGGCUCGAAAGCGUGGGGAGCAAACAGGAUUAGAUACCCCAGUAGUC